rfam:Acanthisitta chloris contig25591, whole genome shotgun sequence.
GUGCCGUGAUGUUAACUGUCAACACAUCAUUCUGAAGAAGAAUUGUGUGGACACUUUCUGAAACUGAGCACC